AGUCUCUCUUUGCACCUCUUGGAUCUACAGACAACAUCAUUGUCAGUUCUCUCCAUUUGAUGAUGUGGGGAAAUCUGUCUAUCGACUAAAAGAAAAAGUGGAGGGUGUCUGUAAAUGAGAGAUUGAAAGGAUAUCUGGCAAAGUUACAUACAUUGAAGUUAUUCCGACCAACGAACUCAAGACCAGAACAGAGUUCCUACAAUAUUUCCGACUGUUAUCUCUGGAUCCAAACACAGCACAAGGGAACAUCUGUCUGUCUUGAGGGGAACAGAGUCCAGCAGUAUCCUGAUCAUCCAGACAGAUUUGAUCACUGGGAACAGGUGUUGUGUAGAGAGAGUGUGUGUGGACGCUGUUACUGGGAGGUUGAGUGGAAUAGGAGUCAUGUUGUGAGUAUAUCAGUGUCAUAUAAGAGCGUCAGUAGGAAGGGAAGAGGUGAUGAGUGUGGAUUUGGAGAUAAUGAUGAGUCCUGGAGUUUGGACUGCUUUGCCUCCAGUAGUUAAUUCUGGCACAGUUAUAAACAGACUGAACUCCCAGUAGUGUCCAGUUCUUGUAGAAUAGGAGUGUAUGUGGAUCACAGUGCAGGAAUUCUGUCCUUCUACAGCGUCUCUGAAACAAUGACCCUCAUCCACAGAGUCCACACCACAUUCACUCUAUCCUGGGUUUGGGUUAAAUGAGAACUCAACAGUGAAACUGCGUGAUUUAACAAUAUAAACGA